rnacentral:misc_RNA from 1 species
AAGUCGUAACAAGGUUUCCGUAGGUGAACCUGCGGAAGGAUCAUUAAUGAAAUGCAAGGACGCUCUUUAUAGAGGUCCGACCUAUUCAUCCUUUCACCCUGUGCACAAAUUAUUUUUACAUCCAUUUUAAACACAUAAAGUUAUUGAAUGUCCUAAUAGUUCCUUGAUUGAGUAUAAACAAAAACAAAAC